UACGUAGGGUGCAAGCGUUGUCCGGAUUUAUUGGGCGUAAAGAGCGUGUAGGCGGCCAGGUAGGUCCGGUGUGAAAACUCGAGGCUCAACCUCGAGACGUCGGCGGAAACCCUCUGGCUAGAGUCCGGAAGAGGAGAGUGGAAUUCCUGGUGUAGCGGUGAAAUGCGCAGAUAUCAGGAAGAACACCAGUGGCGAAGGCGGCUCUCUGGGACGGUACUGACGCUGAGACGCGAAAGCGUGGGGAGCAAACAGG
rnacentral:rRNA from 1 species